rnacentral:misc_RNA from 1 species
AACUAUUCUUCAAAUUUUCCUAGGAUGUGUUAAACAACUCAAGAAUCAGUAUGCAAAAGAUGCAGAAUCACUACAAUUUUUUUUUAUCAUAAAUACAUUUACAAAAGAAUAAACCAUGAAUUUUCAAAAUGGAAGGGCCAACAGACAACACAAAGCAUAGAGGUUACUUAAAGUUUCUAGCAUGCAUCAAAAAGUUCCAAAGGUCAAGAU